rnacentral:rRNA from 1 species
GGCAACGGAUAUCUCGGCUCUCGCAUCGAUGAAGAACGUAGCGAAAUGCGAUACUUGGUGUGAAUUGCAGAAUCCCGUGAACCAUCGAGUUUUUGAACGCAAGUUGCGCCCGAGGCAUMUGCUAAGGGCACGUCUGCCUGGGCGU